AUGUCCACCGACCCCGACCGUGCCGCCGCCGAGAAAGCUGAAGCCGACAAGAAGGCCGUCGAGGACACCGCUGCUGCCACCAAAGCCGCGGCCUCUGCAUGGCCUACUGGAGGGUACAACUCGUUUAUCCCGCUCCUGAUUAUUUUCAUAUUAGCAGUACUAGCAGUGUGUGUAGAUUUGUCUACUGUUUGCUUAGUACGUGCAUGUUUAGAUCAAAGUCAGUACGUCAUCAACUUAGUCGAUGCCAUGCUAGUGAUUUACUCGUGGAUUAAUUUAAUCGAGAAAUUGCCUAUUUACUCAACAAUCCAAAAACCUAUUAUGUGUAGGAAUUUUUCGGCAAGUGGCUUUGCCGCAACACUGAAACCGGAUAAGUUUACCGGUACGUAUUUUAAGCGUUGGCAGACAAAGACCACUUUAUGGCUCACGACUAUGAACGUGUUCUGGGUCACCAGUGUGUCCACGGGAACGAUUGCUCCUGAACAGGAGAAGGCGUUCAGGGAGGCAACCACUGUGUUUCUCCUAGCAAUUCUUAGCGUGAUCGGAGAUAAACUGGUCGACGCAUAUUUACAUGUGCAUGUCGCCAAGAACUUGUGGGAGGCGCUCGAAUCUAAGUUCGGGGCCGCCGAUGCAGGGAGCGAGAUGUAUAUUAUAGAGCAGUUCCACGACUACAAGAUGGUUGAGAACCGUCCUGUACUGGAGCAGGCUCAUGAGAUAAUAUGCAUUGUUAAGGAGCUUGAGCUUCUGAAGUGCGAGUUACCGGGCAAGUUUGUCGCGGGCUGCAUAAUCGCUAAGCUCCCCAAUUCCUGGAGGAACUUUGCCACCACUCUGAAACAUCAGAGGCGUGAAUUCUCUGUGGAGGAUGCCAUUGGCCAUCUGAGUGUCGAGCAGAAUUCAAGGGCAAAGGACUCGCACGGAAAAGGGGCCGAAGGGACUUCUGUUGCCAACAUGGUGAACCAGAGAAACCUCAACUCCCACAAGUUCAAGGGAAAGAACGGUGUCCAACAGAAUACCGACUUCAAGAAGAAGGGUAAGAAGACCUUCAAGAAGAACAAGAAGGACGAGGGAUGCUUUACUUGUGGUUCGACUGAACAUUGGGCCAACAGGUGCCCAAACAAGUUUAAGAAGUCAGGACAGGACUCCAAGUCUGUCAACAUGAUUGUGGUCAACAAUGAGAAUGGUGCAUCUGGGUACGGUAAUCUAUUUACUGUUUUUUCAGUGUUUCAGCCUAUCGAUUGGUGGGUGGAUACAGGUGCAGGUGUUCAUGUGUGUGCUGACAUUUCAUUGUUCUCUUCUUACCAGGUCACAGGCCACGGGUCCGUAUUGAUGGGGAAUGGCGCGAGUGCUUCUGUUCAUGGUGUUGGCACGGUCGAUCUGAAGUUUACUUCGGAAAGGAUCGUGCAGCUGAAGAACGUGCAGCAUGUCCCCGCCAUCAAGAAGAACCUCGUUAGUGGCUCCCUUCUAUGUAGAGAAGGGUUUAAGUUGGUAUUCGAGUCUAAUAAAUUAGUUGCUACUAAGUAUGGACUAUUUGUUGGAAAAUGUUAUGAGAGCAGAGGGAUGUUCCGCCUUUCCCUCGCAGAUUUCUGUAAUAAAGUCGUGAACCAUGUUCAUUCGAGUGUUAAUGAAUCUGAGGUUUGGCAUUCACGUCUUUGUCACAUAAGUUUCGGUGUUAUGACGCGGCUAGCUAAGUUGGAUUUAAUCCCGAGUUUCACUUUAGCCAAAGAUUCUAAGUGCCUGUCAUGUGUGCAAGCUAAGCAACCUCGCCAGCCUCACAAGGCUGCGGAGGAGAGACACUUGGCACCAUUAGAACUCAUACAUUCUGAUCUUUGUGAGAUGAACGGUGUAUUGACUAAAGGUGGAAAGAAAUACUUCAUGAAAUUGAUAGAUGAUUCCACUAGAUAUUGCUAUGUGUAUCUGUUAAAUACUAAAGAUGAGGCUCUACACUACUUUAAAAUCUAUAAGGCAGAAGUUGAGAAUCAACUUGAAAAUUAA
rnacentral:rRNA from 1 species